rfam:Gorilla gorilla gorilla genomic chromosome, chr15, whole genome shotgun sequence
GCCGGGUGUGGUGGCGGACACCUGUAAUCCCAGCUACUCAGGAGGCUGAGGCAGGAGAAUUGCUUGAACCCAGGGGGCAGAGGUUGCAGUGAGCCGAGAUCACGCCACUGUACUCCAGCCUGGGUGACAGAGCAAGACCCUGUCUCUA